GGUUCGGUGGUGUAGUGGAUCAGCACGGCAGACCGGAUAUCGGUAAGUGCGGGUUCGAGUCCCGCCUAAGGUU
rnacentral:tRNA from 1 species